rnacentral:ncRNA from 1 species
AUAUUGAAAAGUGAAAACACAGUUCGGUUGGUAGUCCGGACGCGGUAAAUUACUGUAAGUAACCUUCCUUUUCAGGGUCGCCUGCCUUUUCAAAUUAUAUU